UAGUGAAGGAAAGAGUGGCAAUUCUAUGCAUGUACUUUUAAAAUUUUCACAGUGGAUUAUCUGAGAUUAAACACUUUAACCUAUUUUACAUACAUAAGAUUUAAUCUAAACUACCAUUUCAAGAUCUAUGAUAUGAUUUAAUAUGAAUUUAAGAUCCAAAAAUUAAAAAUCUACAUCGAUCUAAUCGAUGCUCUAGACU
rnacentral:lncRNA from 1 species